rnacentral:misc_RNA from 1 species
GUACCUGGAGAUAGUCUCUUGCUUUAGCUUGAAGGACCUCGAGAUUUCUGCCGCGAGUCUUGUAUCUUUUAAAUACUAUGGACUAGUGAUAGGCAUUCCUUUUAANGCCCAAUCUGGUUGAGUCAUACUUUGGAGGACGAUUUGGUGAAUCAAUCAUUGAUAAUCUUUACCAAUUUUCUCGCUAUAUCUUGCGGCUACAGACACUGA